GGGCCGCCCCGCCCGCAGGUGCUAUGCUGUGGGCCCCGCUCAGGUGAGGACGUCCGGGUUCUGGCCGAGCCACUCGCCACUCAGGGCCGGAGGCGGGGCGGGGAGCCGCGGGGAAGGAGGGGCGGCCGGGCUGGUAUCCCAGCCUCCUGGGAACUGCCUGGACCGUCGUCGCGCCCGAGUGCAUCGCGUUCUUGCUGGAGGGCGGAUGCGCCCUGCCUUCCUCUGACUCGCUGGCGGCCUCGGAAACGCUACUCCCGCGGGAGAGCGCUCGUGGGACGGCCUGGGCCAGGCUGCUUGUCAGCCCCUGCGCUUCCCGGCAGUUUCCGCGUCCCUGUUUUCCCUGCGCGUCUUCUGAUUUCCACCAUGAGGACGUUUGGGUCGUGAUUUUCAUCUGCAUGUGGAGGAAACUGGGCCGCGCGCCGGGAGCCGCGCCUGCGGGUGCUCCGCCCCCAAGUGCCUGUGGGUUUGGUGCGGGCCUUGGGUUCAGUUCAGCUCGCUGUGACCUCGACUGAGCGCUGGAGGCUCCGCGGGCGGGAGCAGGAGGGCUGGAGCCGGCGCCUGCUGUGUGCCCGGCGCGGUAGUGAUGUGUGAGCCUCCCCGCAACUUCUGAGAAGGUGUGACCUUGUGUGGUCAGGAAGCCGAAGCUUGACGAGUUUUCAAGUACGUUUUCUCAGGUCCUGCAGCUGGGAGACGGCACAGGACACUAAACCAGAGCCCACCCACCUUUGGGUUCCUGUUGGACAUCGAUGGAGUGCUUGUGCGGGGCCACAGAGUGAUCCCUGCUGCUCUGAAAGCCUUCCGAAGGCUGGUGAACUCCCAGGGGCAGCUGCGGGUGCCCGUGGUUUUUGUUACAAAUGCUGGGAACAUCUUACAACACAGCAAAGCCCAGGAGCUGUCAGCCCUGCUGGGGUGCGAGGUGGAUGCAGACCAAGUUAUCCUCUCUCACAGCCCCAUGAAGCUCUUCUCCGAGUACCAUGAGAAGCGGAUGCUGGUGUCUGGACAGGGGCCCGUGAUGGAAAAUGCCCAGG
rnacentral:lncRNA from 1 species